GGCAGGAGUAGCAAAAUUAGUAUUAUUAGGUGGAUUGUAGCCACCAUAUUCUUCAAAAUGGGUAUAGGAGUGGGUGCCAAUCUCAUUACCUGCUGC
rnacentral:tRNA from 1 species